rnacentral:rRNA from 1 species
UACGGAGGGGGCUAGCGUUAUUCGGAAUUAUUGGGCGUAAAGGGCGCGUAGGCGGCCCGGUAAGUCAAAGGUGAAAUCCCUCGGCUCAACUGAGGAACUGCCUUUAAAACUGUCGGGCUUGAGGCCGGGAGGGGGUAGCGGAAUUCCCAGUGUAGCGGUGAAAUGCGUAGAUAUCUGGAGGAAUACCGGUGGCGAAGGCGGCAUCCUGGACCGACAUUGACGCUGAGGAGCGAAAGCUAGGGGAGCAAACGGG